rnacentral:rRNA from 1 species
ACUACGGGUGGCAGCAGUGGGGGAUAUUGCACAAUGGGGGAAACCCUGAUGCAGCGACGCCGCGUGAGCGCUGAAGUAUUUCGGUAUGUAAAGCUCUAUCAGCAGGGAAGAAAAUUACGGUACCUGACUAAGCAGCCCCGGCUAACUACGUGCCAGCAGCCGCGGUAAUCAGUAGGGGGCAAGCGUUCUCCGGAUUUACUGGGUGUAAAGGGCGCGUAGACAGCAGUUCAAGUCGGAAGUGAAAGGCAAGGGCUCAACCCUUGGACUGCUUUGGAACCUGUGCUGCUGGAGUGUAGGAGAGGCAAGUGGAAUUCCUAGUGUAGCGGUGAAAUGCGUAGAGAGUAGGAGGAACACCAGUGGCGAAGGCGGCUUGCUGGACGAUGACUGACGUUGAGGCUCGAAAGCGUGGGGAGCAAACAGGAUUAGAUACCCCUGUAGUC